CUAUGCGCCUUGCCAGCCCGCUCAGGUGUGCCAGGCAGCCGCGGUAAUACGUAGGUGGCAAGCGUUGUCCGGAUUUAUUGGGCGUAAAGCGAGUGCAGGCGGUUCAAUAAGUCUGAUGUGAAAGCCUUCGGCUCAACCGGAGAAUUGCAUCAGAAACUGUUGAACUUGAGUGCAGAAGAGGAGAGUGGAACUCCAUGUGUAGCGGUGGAAUGCGUAGAUAUAUGGAAGAACACCAGUGGCGAAGGCGGCUCUCUGGUCUGCAACUGACGCUGAGGCUCGAAAGCAUGGGUAGCGAACAGG
rnacentral:rRNA from 1 species